rnacentral:misc_RNA from 1 species
UUCCGUAGGUGAACCUGCGGAAGAUCAUUAAUAAAUUUUUUUAGGUUGAAAUUUGAAACUAAAAUAUAUAAUCCUACCUUUGUGAAUUUGUUGUUGAAAUAAUUUUUUAAAAAAAUUAUUUAUUGUUUGUCUAUCCCUGAGUUGUAAGAGAAGUAAUUCUUGAAGACUUAGGGAAUAGGCUUUAUCUAUAAUAAUGAUUUUAAGACCAUUUUUUAAAUUAAUUUUGUAUUCAUUGUCUAAAAUUAUUUUAAUAAUUUAAAAACAACUUUGACAAUGGAUCUCUUGUUCUCGCACGAUGAGGAACGCAGCAAAAUGCGAUAAGUAAUGUGAAUUGCAGAAUACGUGAAUCAUCAAAUCUUCGAACGCAUGUUGCACUUUUUUAGUUACUAAAAAGUAUGUCUGUUUGAGCAUCAGUAAAAUAUCUCAUAAAAAUUAUUUUUUAUGGUUUGAGUGUUUUACAACGAUACAAGUUGUUUCACUUUAAAUUGACUUUAAAUUGCCUAUUAAUUUAGUCAAUUUUUAAAAUUGCAUAAAAUUUUCCGUAAAAAGGAAUAACUAUCAAUUUAAAUUAACUGAUAUAAAAGGCCUUAAUAAAGGAAAUUUAAUUAAUAAUUGAUCUCAAAUCAGAUAGAGUACCGCUGAACUAAGCAUAUCAAUACGGAGGAAAGAAACUAACAAGGAUUCCCUAUAACGGCGAGUGAAGCGGGAAGAGCUCAAAUUUGAAAUCUUCAAGUUUGACCUUGACGAUUGUAGUUUAAAGAAGUGUUUUCGUUAGAGGAGUGUAAAGUUCUUUGGAAUAGACAUCAUAGAGGUGAGAUCCCGUAUUUGACCAUUCUUCUAGCUUUGUGAUACACUUUCAAAGAGUCGAUUGUUUGGAAUGCAGUCCAAAUGGGUGGUAAUUUCAUCUAAAGCUAAUAUUGGCGAGAGACGAUAGCGAACAAGUACCGUGAGGGAAAGAUGAAAGAACUUGAAAAGAGAUUAACAGUACGUGAAAUUUCAAAAGGGAAGCGUUGACACCAGUGUUGUUUUCGAAAAUCAUUAAAAAUAAAUCAUGCAGUUGUAUUGACCUUAUCAGCUUGCAAUUUGGUUUGGUUUCUUUUUGAUGCACUUUUCGGUUAACAAGUCAACAUCAUUUCCUUUGCUGUAAAAGGGCAGGAGGAAGUGCUUCAAUUCGGUUGAAGUGUUUAUAGCCUUCUGUCUCUGCAGUCGGGAGAUUGAGGUCUGCACGUAGAUCCUUCGGGUUAAUACAUUCUGCUAGUUAUAGCCUUUUAUA